rnacentral:rRNA from 1 species
UAGGGAAUCUUCGGCAAUGGGGGCAACCCUGACCGAGCAACGCCGCGUGAGUGAAGAAGGUUCUCGGAUCGUAAAGCUCUGUUGUAAGUCAAGAACGAGUGUGAGAGUGGAAAGUUCACACUGUGACGGUAGCUUACCAGAAAGGGACGGCUAACUACGUGCCAGCAGCCGCGGUAAUACGUAGGUCCCGAGCGUUGUCCGGAUUUAUUGGGCGUAAAGCGAGCGCAGGCGGUUUGAUAAGUCUGAAGUUAAAGGCUGUGGCUCAACCAUAGUUCGCUUUGGAAACUGUCAAACUUGAGUGCAGAAGGGGAGAGUGGAAUUCCAUGUGUAGCGGUGAAAUGCGUAGAUAUAUGGAGGAACACCGGUGGCGAAAGCGGCUCUCUGGUCUGUAACUGACGCUGAGGCUCGAAAGCGUGGGGAGCGAACAGGAUUAGAUACCCUGGUAGUCCACGCCGUNNCGAUGAGUGCUAGGUGUUGGAUCCUUUCCGGGAUUCAGUGCCGCAGCUAACGCAUUAAGCACUCCGCCUGGGGAGUACGACCGCAAGGUUG